CUGAGAAUGUUAUGCUCCUUUUGUAGUGUUUCCACAUGAAGGAUUAGAUACUGCACUGUAUGAGGCAGGUCUAUGAGGCAAGAUGGAAAAGACUAUACAUGGAUUAAAAAAAAAAAAAAAAAAAAGAUGUGGAAAAAAAAGGCAGAAAUAUCAUUAGAUAGUCUAAGAGGAUCAAAUCUGAGGUUCUAAGUGGUAUAACUACGAGAUAAGAGACAACAGCUACCAGUGAGCUACCAGAUGCAGAAAAACGCAGAAACACUGCUGUGAAUAUGUUGAUUUUCUCUUUGUCUCCACCACUACUUCAGGAAAAUAGUGAAGAAGUUGCUGAUCUGUUUUUCUAAGGCUGAUAAGGGCAGGAAGAAUGAAGAAUGCCAGCAUUGGUACUGAAGAGCUGCUAGGAGAUAUUCUCAUCCAAGAGUCGACAAAAUUAAAUGUUAAAACCUUCUUCCAAGAGGCAGUAUCAGCAGAACUACAGCCUAUACAGCGUCCUCUAAUGCACUCGGGAGCUCCAGAGCUAAAAUGAUGAAAGCUGAUAAUCUAGUUCUGUAGCACACAUGAGAAGACAUGAAUUUUCUGUGGGACACGCGCAAUAGCAGCCAUUUAUCAGUGGGUUAUGUGAAGCUCAUUAAGUACUGUGCAAGUCCUGCAAGUUUUGCACAAUAUAGUUUCCUAGCAAAGCCAGCUGUUCUGAUCUGUCUCACCUUGACUGAGCUGCUGAAGAUUUCUACAAGAAUAAGGGAAAGGAAAACAGUACAAAAGCUUCAGAGUACUUACUAGAUGAAAGUAAAUUAUGUUCAGACUGUUGCAAUCAGCGAUCAGG
rnacentral:lncRNA from 1 species